rnacentral:rRNA from 1 species
UCGAGGAUCAUUUGCAAUGGGCGAAAGCCUGACAAUGCGACGCCGUGUGAGCGAAGAAGGCCUUCGGGUUGUAAAGCUCUUUCGCUUGGGAACAAGAGAAUGUAGUGAAUAACUAUGUGAUUUGAGAGUACCAGGUAAAGAAGCACCGGCUAACUCCGUGCCAGCAGCUGCGGUAAUACGGAGGGUGCAAGCAUUAAUCGGAUUUAUUGGGCGUAAAGGGCGCGUAGGCGGGGAUGAAAGUCAGAUGUGAAAUCCCGGGGCUCAACCUCGGAACUGCAUUUGAAACUCCAUUUCUUGAGGGUGGGCGGAGAAAACGGAAUUCCACGUGUAGCGGUGAAAUGCGUAGAUAUGUGGAAGAACACCGGUGGCGAAGGCGGUUUUCUAGCUUACACCUGACGCUGAGGCGCGAAAGCAAGGGGAUCAAACAGGAUUAGAUACCCCCGUAGUCC